ACUGUGCAGAGUAUCGGAAAAACGCUGGAAGCAACGCUAUGUGGCAGCUUCUGGUUGGAUGUCUUUUAAAAGAUAAAAAACCAAUUUUUUUUUUCAUUUUCUUUUCCUCUUUUCCCGAACUCUCUCUCCUUCCUCCCUCGACGAACCGAUGAAUCUCUUCUGAUUCUUCAGUUUUCAUAGAUUUCCUUGAAUCGAUUGGUUUUUACGGUAGACUUGCUCUAAGAGACCCUAAAACCCUCUGUUGUGUUGGCUUGUGACUUGCUCUUAGACAAUCUCGAUUCUCUCUCUCUAUAUUCGUCGAAGGCAGACGACGACAAAUUUCUCCGACAAGUCUCUGUUACUCAUCAAUCUCUUGUGUUGUUUUUUCCUCAGAUGAUUGCUGGGCCAAAAUUGCUCGUGACAUAUAUCAAGGUAUUAAACCCAUCUUUUUGUUUCCUUGUUUCACUUCUUGUUCUGCAGUUUUGCUAGUUUUGAUCUAAUAUUUGCUUUCAGUUUUUGUUUGAACAAGGUAAUUCAUUGAAACUGUGAAUCUUGUUUGAUUUAGAUUAGGUGAAAAUAUUGAAUGCUUGGUAGUUGUGAAUGAAUGAAUCAGUGCUGAAGAUUAUAGGUGUGAUAAGCUUUCUUCAACUGAUAUUUGUGUUGGUUCCUUUGGUUUUGUUUCAUAAGUCUGUGCAAAGUUUUGUUCUCCCUCUGUGUGAUUUAUAGGCUGAUUCUCUGUUCUACUGUUUUGUUCUUUGAUCAAAGCUUGAAUCGGUUUGUGUUAUGUUCUGUUCUUUAUCAAUGUUAUGCUUUGUUCUUUGAUCCGUUUAUGUUCUGUUAUGUUCUUUGAUCAAAGCUUGAAUUGGUUUGUGUUAUGUUCUGUUCUUUAUCAAUGUUAUGCUUUGUUCUUUGAUCCGUUUAUGAUCUGUUAUGUUCUUUGAUGAAAGCGUGAAUCGGUUUGUGCUAUGUUCUGUUCUGUAUCAAUGUUAUGCUUUGUUCUUUGAUCCGUUUAUGUUCUUUGAUGAAAGCUUGGAUCGGUUUGUGUUAUGUUCUGUUUCAAUUUUCUACGCUUUUUCAUCAAUUUGAUUUGUUCUACUGUUUUUUUUGAGGUUUAAUGGUUGAGCUGUGAAAGAAGCUGGAGGGAAGACUAGUGAGCCUGAGAUUUUCCCUGCAUCAACUGAUUCUCGAUAUGUAUGUCUCAAUCCUCAAGGCUUACACAUCAUAUGUUUUAUAUGGCAUUGUUUAGGAUUUGAAUGUCUGAGUUUUUUUUUUUAUGAUUACUGCAAGUAUUGAGAGAAUGAGCACAUAAUUUUUUUCAACUUGCAAAGCAGUUUCUGUUUUAUGAUUGAGAAACUUAUGAAGGUUUUUCUAGUGGAAGAUGAUUUUGGUUUAA